rnacentral:rRNA from 1 species
UACAGAGGGUGCAAGCGUUGUUCGGAAUUACUGGGCGUAAAGGGCGCGUAGGCGGCCUUGUCAGUCAGGCGUGAAAGCCCCGGGCUCAACCUGGGAACGGCGCUUGGGACGGCGAGGCUGGAGUUCGGGAGAGGAGAGUGGAAUUCCCAGUGUAGAGGUGAAAUUCGUAGAUAUUGGGAAGAACACCGGUGGCGAAGGCGGCUCUCUGGACCGACACUGACGCUGAGGCGCGAAAGCGUGGGGAGCAAACAGG